rnacentral:lncRNA from 1 species
CAAAAGUUGUUGGACCAAUAAAGUGAACUGUUUUGGAGACUACUGCAUGCUACCAGAGGAGUUUUUCGUCGAAUCUAAUGCCGAGAACAUCUCCGUUUAUACUGCUAACAAUAUUGGUGAUGUCUGUCAAACGGACCGUCACUGUAGUAAAUUAAGUAACACUCGCUGCCAAGGAGGCAAGUGUACAUGCAAAAACGGUACUUAUGAAGAUUUUGACAGCUGUUUGAUCCCCAGAAUGUUCAUGAUCGAACUUGACUACGAAGCAACUGUUUUAGCUUUCGAACGUUCUCUUAAAAAUUGCACCUCUGACUCAGAUUGCGGAAACGAGCCAAAACUCCACCUGCUUCCAAGGUAAGUGUGUCUGCUCCAAAGGGUUCCAACUCCAAGAUGAUGAGUGCCAGGAAAUGACCAAGUCGACUUGUUCCAAGCAUUAUCAAUGCUCGCAUGGAACCCGGUGCUAUCUGAAUACCUGCCGAUACUUUAAUAAAUUCUUCAGCUCUGAUGGUGCUGACAAGUACACUACUGAAGGUUGGGAGUCAGAUUGUUGGACUGAUCGCGAUUGUCGCGACAUGAACAACACUGUUUGUUUUGAGAAUCGUUGCAUGUGCAAAUCUGGUUACAGAAGGAACUUCUGGACUGAUAAAUGUUAAGAAUCACCAGAUAGAACAUGCGAUGAUGACCGCAAGUGUUUGUAUGAUCACGACGAACAGUGUGUCCUAGGGGUCUGCAAGAUGAAAUCAGAGCUAUACAUAAACCCAGAAAGCAUCGACCUUGAUCUAUACGUUGCGAAACAUCAUUACCAGUUUUGAGUGAACGAUCAUUAUUGUCGUGAUUUAAACAAUACUCGUUGUCACAACGGAGCGUGUGAAUGCUUGCCUAGGUAUGAAGUCGUCUUUGAUACCUGCCAAAAGAUAAUAAGGGAAGAAUUGUACCGACGACAUGGAAUGCCGAUUGCCUGGGUCCCACUGCUUCUUCGACACCUGUAUGAUGAUCGAAGACCUUAGCGCUUCCUAGCAACAAGACCAACACCUAUGUCGCGAAAGAUGAUGGGUUC